rnacentral:rRNA from 1 species
UUGAAAGGGAAACGAUUGAAGUCAGUCGUACCAGCGGGAAAUCAACCUUUCGAGUGGGGGUUUUGGAGUUUUUUGAAGAGUGUCAAAACCUUUGAGAUUUCAAAAUAUUCGCUCUUUUGGUGUACUUUCUCGUGGGUAGGUUAACAUCGAUUUUGAUCAUCAUAAAAAGAUUGGAGGAAUGUAGCUUCGAUCUUGUAUUGAAGUGUUAUAGCCUUUGGUAAAUGUGAUGAUUAGGAUCGAGGAUUGCAACGAAUACCCUUUUGGGCUAUCCGCCUGAUCUCUGAUACGUGGCCUUGGUAUCGAAAGCGUGCCUAUGGUAUUGAGGUAUUACGGUCAAAAGGUUAGAACGGAUUACAUUCGUUAAGGAUGUUGACGUA